rnacentral:tRNA from 1 species
GGUUGUGGCUCAGCGGUAGAGCGCUUGCCUAGCACAUGCGAGGCCCUGAGUUUGAUUCUCAGCACCA